ensembl:misc_RNA Y_RNA Y RNA
GGCUGUUCCGAAGGUAGUGAGUUAUCUCACGUGAUUGUUCACAGUCAGUUACAGAUUGAACUCCUUAUUCUACUACUUUCCCCCCUCCUCACCACUGCACUUGACUAGUCUUAA